GCUUUGUGUUCCUGGAUUUGGAGAAUUUCUGGGAACACAGGAAAAGGAAAGUGAAUGCCACCAGGAUCUGAACCCAAGAUCUCCAGCCUCCGUCACCAUCCUGACCCUGAGAAUGCCACUGGGAUGGGGAGAACUUGCCAGUCUUCAUCCUUCCCCACAAGUGUACUGAGGCCAGGACAGGCUCAGCUCCAGAAGCAGACCCAGAAUGGCAUCCUUCUCUGAGACCCAGACUCCAGCCUCUCUUCAUGGAAGACCAGAGCAA
rnacentral:lncRNA from 1 species